UUUGAAUGCUCAUUCCCUGGUUGUUGUUCUUACUGUUCUGAGAAAGGCUCUCCUUUUGUACCUUAAGUGUUCUUGAAGUCAUUAGGGCCAAACCCCAGAUCCUGGCACCUAUAAAAAGUUAGGGCUUGGGGCCACCAGUCCUAGAUAGGCCAAUUAAAGAAACCAAUCAUAGUGAAACACAGGAAAGGGAGAUUGACAUCAUACGAUCACCUAAAAGUGAGGAACAAAGAGGUUCGCUGGGUCCUCCCCUCCCCAAUCAUUCUUCAGGUUCCUAACAUGAGGUUUGGGUUUAAGUACAGGGAAGGGAGUAUGCAUAACUCUGCAUCCUUGGCCCAUCAUUGUCUAGGCUUCAGUCUCUCCUGCAGGGUGGCCAGACAAGUUACCGGAAUGGUGAAAUUUCUUCCUGGAAGACAAGCUCCUUCUUUGGCUGGUACCAAGUUCAGUCUUUUCCUUUCCCCAGCACAAGACUCUUGGGGGGCACUUCAGUUUCUUUUAGGCCAUGUUUUCAGUAGCUUGAUAGUCAAAGAAAGGAUCCCUUGUCACUUUCCAGUAUCUUUGCUCCUGCCAGGAAGGCUAAACACGUUGGCCUGGAACUCUCUCUGGUAGUUGAUGUUGACUUCAUACUUAAUAGAAAUCCUCCUCCUGCAUCAGCCUCUUGAGUUCUGGCUUACAGACUUUAGCCACCACAGUCAGCUAUUUUUUUUAAUUUAAAAUCAAGGCUCUCAAUCCAUCCCUUGGGAAUAUUUCCAGGGUACUGGAGAGCUUGAUGUGAUUAAAUGAGGGGGGGGAAAGAGCCUACCCAGACUAUAUUCUGUUACUAGGCUUCAGGCCACUAAAUCUGAACUUAUGCUUCCCAGAUAUAGGACAUCAUGAUGUUGGCUCAAUUUCGGUAUCUUAGUGUCUGCAUGGGACCUGCAGCUGAGUGAGACAUGCUGUAAGGUGAUCCUGGCUCCACUAAAGCUCAGACUGAAAUCCCAGACUUGCUAUGCUGUCCUCAACAAGGCUGGAGAAUCCUGAGACUUCCUAUCUUCGGUAUGUCUGGAGAAGGAAUGCCAGCUCUGAGACCCUGUUCCUGCCUUAAAUACCUCUCACGAGUCCUGGAAUUAAAGGCGUGAGCUCUGUUACUCUUUUAGACUGAUUCAAUCUUGUGCAGGCCUGGGUAGCCUUGAACUCACAGAGAUCCAUCCGCCUUUGUCUCCCCCUGGGAUUAAAGGUGUGUUCCACCACUGCCUGACCUCUAUUGCUUGUGGCUGACUUUGCUUUCUGGAUCAUCAGGCAAGCUUUAAUAAAUCAUAAAAAUCAUAUCACCAUACUUUAAUUCAGACCUUUAAAAAGCUCCGGCUUCCUCUGGUUCUCUGCCUUGGACUUGUAAUGCCACUAACACUUGUCUUUGCUUCUCCCUCAUAUCUCUAUUUAGGGACCAGCCAAGGUUUGUUUUUUCCUCUCUACACUUGGCUGUAUUACUAAUGGCACCACCAAUAUAAUCUUAACAUUCCCUAGAUAGUCUCCUAGAUGCACUGGAGGGGUACCAGGACUGCCAUACCCAGUGACUCCAACCUGCAGGAAGAAGCCAGAUUUGGCCAUUGCUCCAAUUCCUGAAGGAAGCAUGAUGAGAGCAGGCAUUAGAAGCUGACCAGGAAGAGCAGGGAUUCCAAAGCAGCAAACCCAAGGAUGUCGGAAGAGUCUGAGUCUGUUACCUCCUCUAGAUGAAGACCUCUGAAAAUCCACCGUGAGGAUGAAACUGAGAGGAGGCACCCAGACACCUGGAUGGGUAACUGAGCUGAACAGCUCAUCCGCCUCUCAUAAGUCACCCCAGUGUAACAGUUCAAACCUAUUUCCCAGAACCCUUCUUACUAUCUCUCUUUUUCUUUUAAGGUACCACUAUAUAAUAAAUUUCUCUGUAGAACUCA
rnacentral:lncRNA from 1 species